rnacentral:rRNA from 1 species
CCUACGGGGUGCAGCAGUGAGGAAUAUUGGUCAAUGGUCGGGAGACUGAACCAGCCAAGCCGCGUGAGGGAUGAAGGUACAGAGUAUCGUAAACCUCUUUUGUCAGGGAACAAAGGCGGGGACGUGUCCCCGGAUGAGUGUACCUGAAGAAAAAGCAUCGGCUAACUCCGUGCCAGCAGCCGCGGUAAUACGGAGGAUGCGAGCGUUAGCCGGAUUUAUUGGGUUUAAAGGGUGCGCAGGCGGUCUGUUAAGUUCGCGGUAAAAGCCCGGGGCUCAACCCCGGCCCGCCGUUGAAACUGGCAGUCUCGAGUUGGAGAGAAGUAUGCGGAAUGCGCGGUGUAGCGGUGAAAUGCAUAGAUAUCGCGCAGAACUCCGAUUGCGAAGGCAGCAUGCCGGCUCCACACUGACGCUGAGGCACGAAAGCGUGGGUAUCGAACAGGAUUAGAUACCCUAGUAGUC